rnacentral:rRNA from 1 species
UACAGAGGGGGCAAGCGUUAUUCGGAAUUAUUGGGCGUAAAGCGCGUGUAGGCGGCUUUGCAAGUCGGGUGUGAAAUCCCUCAGCUCAACUGAGGAAGUGCGCCCGAAACUGCAGAGCUUGAGUGCCGGAGAGGGUAGCGGAAUUCCCCAAGUAGAGGUGAAAUUCGUAGAUAUGGGGAGGAACACCGGUGGCGAAGGCGGCUCUCUGGGACGGUACUGACGCUGAGACGCGAAAGCGUGGGGAGCGAACAGG